rnacentral:misc_RNA from 1 species
UGCUGGCAAAGCUGCUGAUGUCUUCACAGCCAAACUUUCAGCAAUAACUCCAGAAGAUGCAGCAAAAUCAAUCUUUGAUGGGAUCACAGCUUCUGGCACUUUUGCCUGAUUGUAAAACAUACUACCAUUAACAUUUGCAGGCUGUUGGAUGGGAAGUGAAUGUGUAGCAGGAUUGGCCAUGCCUAAAUCUUUUGGCAACUCAUGUUCGUUUACAUGCCCAUUCUCCAUGAACCUGACAGCCUUCAAACUAUUUGCAAGCAAAGCAGCUUCUUCCAUUAACCACUUUGAGGCAGGUGGUUGAAUUGGCUGUAAAUGCUGGGGAGCAAUAAUACCAGUGGAUGCAGAUAUUUGUAGAACUGCAUCAAAAGCAGAAUGCUGCAGCACAUCAUGAGGAGAUGAAACAGAGCCUCCAUAAAAUUUCAGAUUAACAGAUUCAUCUUGACUCGGUUUCAUGCCAUCAUAAGGGGCCCAUUUUGGACUUAGCCCGUCAUUUUGUUUCUCAGUCACUGCCGGCCUGAAAACUAUUACUUCAUCCUCCUCAUCCCCUUCUAUGUAUGGCUGUGCGUUAGGCUGCAAAACUCCCAGAUUAAUGGUUUUCUGAGGCUGAAUUUCUU